UACGGAGGGGGCAAGCGUUGUCCGGAAUCAUUGGGCGUAAAGCGCGUGUAGGCGGUUCGAUAAGUCUGCUGUGAAAGUCCAGGGCUCAACCCUGGGAUGCCGGUGGAUACUGUCGGGCUAGAGUACGGAAGAGGCGAGUGGAAUUCCCGGUGUAGCGGUGAAAUGCGCAGAUAUCGGGAGGAACACCAAUUGCGAAGGCAGCUCGCUGGGACGUUACUGACGCUGAGACGCGAAAGCGUGGGGAGCAAACAGG
rnacentral:rRNA from 1 species